rnacentral:rRNA from 1 species
CCUGGCGGCUUUAGCGCGGUGGUCCCACCUGACCCCAUGCCGAACUCAGAAGUGAAACGCCGUAGCGCCUUUUGCAGCGAGUCAGCCGCAGAGA